UGGCAACUGACAGACGAGUGGUGGGGGUCCAUGCCCAGGAACUGAACCCCGGCCGCUGAAGUGGAGCAUGCCGAACUUAACCACCAGGCUACGAGGGCUGGCCUUAAUAUGUCUUUGAUGAUGCUGUGAGAUGAGAUAUUGAUCACAAGGUUACUCCUAAUAAACAUUCUACAUAAGAAACAUCAUAUCAGAGUCUGAUUCCCAGAGACUGAAGUGUGUGACGACUGGUCUGUAGAAUGGUCUGAGAAAGCAGCAGAUGGGGUUUUGGAGUGGGAUCACUUGAAGCCUGGCUGGCAAUGUCAACUGCAUCACUGGGAAAAAGAAUCAGAAACAGUUUUUAUUUAUGGAAAGAAGAGUAUGUAUUUAACCGUUUUGCCUGACUCUCUGUCAAUAUAAUCUGAAGAUGUGUGAACCAUUAUAUCAAUAAUGUCAAGUUACUUAAGCCAGGUAAGCAAGAAGUGUUUACCAUAUUGGACAUCUAGGUAAGACUCAUGUGUUUGAGAGGGUGGGAGACAAACUCUGUGAAGAUUCAGGGGCUCACUACAUCAGAGUCCAACUGUCAGAGGCAUGCCAGGACAUCCAUCCACAUUAAAGGACAAAUUAUUUCAUCUUUUAUCUCCCAACGCAAAGAAGAAAUGACAAUGCCUGGUAGAGACUUUUGGAAGAAACUUUUGAAGUCCCAGCUGAAGCAACAGUUUGGAGGUGAUUUUUUUUUCCUGUGGAAGAUUGACCCUGAGCUAACAUCCAUGCCAAUCUUCCUCUAUUUUGUAUGUGGGUCACCACCACAGCAUGGCUGCCAUCGAGUGGUAUGGUCUGUGCCCAAGAACCAAACCAGGUCACUGAACUGGAGCAUGCUGAACUUAAUCACUAGGCUACGGGGAUGGCCCUGGAGGAUGGGAUGCUGUUCUCUAGAACUCACUACAUACCCUCAAUCAAGUAUCUUUAUAUGGUACUAUGUUUCCAGUUGGAAGAAUACAUAAGUCCAGGAACUAAGGCGCGGAAGGAGGAGUGACCAUGCUUGUAAUCACUCCCAGUGUUCCACUUGGGAAAUUUAUGCUCCCUUUCCUUACAACUCUGGGAUCUGUUAGAGUUCUCAUUGCCCAAAAUGGGGGCACUGUCACCAGGGAACACAAAAAAAUUCCCAGUGAACUACAAACUAUGUCUAAGCCUGGGUAAUUCAGGCUCAUUGUUUAUAGGGACCAGCAGACAAGAAGUGAAAUCACCAUCUUGGCAGGCAUAAUUGACCCUGAACAUCAGAAAGACAAAGAGCUUCAGUUACAAAAUGGGGAAUGGGAAGUAUAUGUUUGGCACUGAGGUGUUACACUUGCAUCCCUUUUGGUACUCUCAUGUCCAAUUGUGAGAGUUAAUGAGCAAUGCAGCAACCCCACCCUGAGAGGUGUAUAAUGACUAGGGGCUCAGACCUUUCAGGAAUGAUGUCUCAUGCCAACAGUUAAGCCACUGAAACUGGAAGAAGUGCUAGCUAAGGGUGAGAGGAAUCUGGAAAAGAUAAUAGACAAGGGAGACUAUGAGUAUUAACUUGCCAUUCAAAGACAAGGUGUGGACUAACCUUCCUUUUCUAAGUUUUUCCCAGGAAGAUAGGCUACUAGAUUCUGAAGAGCUGUUCGCUGCAUAUAUAGGAAGAGGAUUCAAGCAGCACAAGGGAUGGACUAUUUUGGACACUGUGAUGUGCCAUCAAGAUCUCUCUUUAAGGAAGGAUCUGUUGCCCAGCUUCUGAAAGUGUUGUUGACCAUCAAACUUUAGUUCUCAGCGCCUCCAGGAAUAGCUUCAGCUUGAGUGAGCUGUCUCAACCAUGCGCCCAUCCUUCUGAGGGUGGGCCACUGACUGAGACUAGGGUACCAAGACCUGGCCAUUUGGGAUGAAUGUGGGACAACUCUGAUGGGCUGUUUUAUCUCUGGAACUUCUCAAGGGAUGGAUUAAGCUGUUGUCAGGCCUGCGUCAGAGCUUGACUUUUCCCAAUCCUUCUUCCUUCCUCUCUCUUCUACAAAUAUUGAUCUUAACAGGACUCCAUAAUAAACAUUCUUUACACUAAACUCCAUCUCAAAGACGGCUUCCUGGAGAACCCAACUUAAAUAAUUUGGGGAACUUGAAAAAGUUAACUAAUUUUCUGUACCUAGAUUUCCUCAUCAGAUAAUGAUAAAACGUUUCUCAUAGAGUUGUUACAAGGAUUUAUGCAGUAAUCUUUAGACAGUAUCUGGCACAUAGUAAACACUCAAUAAAUGCUAUCCAUUAUUAUUAAUUGACAAAAGGGUUAUUUUAAGGACAAAGUAAGAACAAAGAGGUGAGACUACUCUAAAAAUAUUUAAAGAUCAAUGUUCAUUUAAAUGAAGUGUCGUUUCCUACAUUAACAUGUUUUUUCUGAUAUAAAAACUAGAAGUAAUUCUGUGCCUUUAGAAAUAUUUUAUUUGCAUCUCUUGCCCCUACUCUUAUGUUCCCCAUGGUUACAGGUCCCUGAAAUAACUGAUUUCUUUCACACACUGAGCACUGUAAAGUGAAUGGAAUGUAAAUAAUAUUUUAAAUAAUAACAAUGGCAAUAUUAAUAGCUACCAUUUAUUAAGCACUAACUGUGUGGCAGACACUGUGUUAAUUGCUUGACUAAUGUUUAUUUAGUUCAACUUAAUAAAUAUUUGUGGAACAGCCCCUGCAUUACAGGUACAUGGUGAACAACAGCAUGACAGUCAGUAAGUCAGGCAUGUUGCCUGUCCUUACAGCACUACUGCCCAGUCAGGAAGAUAAUCAGUUAAACAUAAAAUUACAGUAUAGAAUAAAUGCUAUAUUAUGGAAAGAAAAGGGUAGCAUUGGGUGAAGAAGGACAUAGAAGGGAGGUGGAAACUACUUAGUGGGUGGGGGAAAGUUUACCAGAAAAAGUAAUAUAUAAACUGAGACCUGAAAUAUAAGCAGGAGUUGGCUAAGUUAAUAGAUUGAAACCUUCAGAGAAUGCACAAAGAAGCAGAGGAACCAGAACAGUUUUCAAGAAGCCAGAAAGCAGUGUAGUUAGUGGGGAAUGGUGAUAAAGGAGUCCGGAGAAGAAAGAAGAGAACCAGUCAGUCAUGAAGGACCUUGUACACCCAUAAAGUGAUACCCAGGAAGUACCCUCUACUUUUUCCUAGGGCAAUGGAAAGCCAUGGCCAGGUUUUUGGUAGAGAGAGAGGUGAUUGAUUGUAUUUGCCUUUGAAAAGUUCCAUUCUGGCUGCAUUGUAGGUGAUAGAGGAAGCAAAGACAGAGAGGGUGAGGAAGCUGUUAAAAUCAUCCUUGUGUUAGGUGUUAGUGGUUGGACUAGGGAGCUUUGGGGAUAGCAAGAACUGUACAGGCUCAAACCUUGUGUGGAAAACAAUAAUAAUAGUACUUGGGAGAGUGAUGGGAUGUGACACUGAGGGAAAGGAAAAAUAGGAAUGCUGCCCUCAGUUCUGUAGGUGUGUUGCCUUGCACAAAGGUGACUGCUCAGGAGAUGAGUGGGUGCUCAAGGCUAAUGUGAGCCUGGCUCACCUGAUUGUUGCUCUGGCAUGGCCUACAUCUGCUGGGAGCAAGGAGGAUCUUUCCAAAAUCAUGCAAAGGGUCAUAUGGGCUGUUGGUGGCCUUGGGGAAUAGUCAACCAUAAUUCCAGAGUUUCUGGCUUGGACAAAUGGAUUAAUGAUAGCACUAUUGGCUGAAACUGGGAACAGAGGUGGUGGUGGGGGUGAAGGUAGUGGAUGCAAUUUGUGCUUAAUUUCUAAUAAAAACCUUACAAAGUAAUAUUAAGCUUAUUUUAUAAAAGCAGAAAUUGAGUCUUAGAAAGGGUAAGUGUUUUACCUGAGGACAUAUAGGUAGUAAAUGGUAAAGCUGGGAUUCAGAUCUUGAUACUACAUUUUUUUCCACUCCCUAUAUAUUCCCAAAAAUAGCAUUAACAUAUUCUGGGGACUACUCCAUUAUGAAAAUAUGAUUUCAUUUGGGAAACGUACAUGAAUAAUUGUUAAAUCAUUUGUAUAUUUAAACUUUUCAAUAUUUAGAAACUUAAUUUUAAUAAAUGUCUUUGCCUCUCAGCUUUCUUUCCACUGUUCCUCUCUUUACACUUGCUAUUCUGUUGUCCUCCUCUCUUUUCUCUAAAGCCUUUUCUCUUCUCUGUCUUUUAAGAUUCAGCUGCAGCCUCGCGUCCUCCAGGAAAUGAUCCUGAACAUCCUGCUGGAUAUAAAUAUUUCUCUCCUGAGCUCCCUGGGCAUCUUGUAUAUACCUCGUUCAUGUGAAUUAUCACGACUGCCCUAAUUGUUGGUGUACUUUUAGUUUUAUAUUCCUGGUACCUGGAAAUAGUUGCUAUUCUGUAAAUAAUGUUUGGUGAUGAUUGUAUGAGUGAACCACUGCUCAAGGCCCACCUUUCCUGAUAAGCCUUCACUGAUUUAUUUAGUCUAUUCUCUAGUCCUGUGACUCCCAGACAUGGCUGAACAUAAAAGCUUUUAAAAAAUACAGAUUUCCACACCCUACCCCAGACCUACUGAAUCUGGGACAAGGCAAAGGCAUCUGGACUUUUAAAAUGUUUCCCACAUGAUUCUACGCUCAGCCCAGACUUGGUAUUAAGAACCCCUGCUCUAAUCUGCCAACACAGUCUAACACAACCCUUCUACCAAUGUGUGCUUAUAGUUAUUAUACUUUAUAUUGUAUUUAUGUAAUAUACUUGUUAUAUUUUCAUUAAAGAAUUUUAAGAUAA